AAGGCUUCGGCCGGACAGGGAUGGGCAUGCGGCGCAUUAGGCAGUAGGCGGGGUAACGGCCCACCUAACCGACGAUGCGUAGGGGUUCUGAGAGGAAGGUCCCCCACACUGGUACUGAGACACGGACCAGACUCCUACGGGAGGCAGCAGUGAGGAAUAUUGGUCAAUGGUCGGGAGACUGAACCAGCCAAGCCGCGUGAGGGAGGAAGGUACAGAGUAUCGUAAACCUCUUUUGUCAGGGAACAAAGACUGGGACGCGUCCCCGGAUGAGUGUACCUGAAGAAAAAGCAUCGGCUAACUCCGUGCCAGCAGCCGCGGUAAUACGGAGGAUGCGAGCGUUAUCCGGAUUUAUUGGGUUUAAAGGGUGCGCAGGCGGUCUGUUAAGUCAGCGGUCAAAGCCCGGGGCUCAACCCCGGCCCGCCGUUGAAACUGGCAGUCUCGAGUUGGAGAGAAGUAUGCGGAAUGCGCGGUGUAGCGGUGAAAUGCAUAGAUAUCGCGCAGAACUCCGAUUGCGAAGGCAGCAUGCCGGCUCCACACUGACGCUGAGGCACGAAAGCGUGGGUAUCGAACAGGAUUAGAUACCCUGGUAGUCCACGCAGUAAACGAUGAAUGCUGGCUGUCCGGGGGGACUGACCCCUGG
rnacentral:rRNA from 1 species